rnacentral:rRNA from 1 species
UACGAAGGGGGCUAGCGUUGCUCGGAAUCACUGGGCGUAAAGCGCACGUAGGCGGACUCUUAAGUCGGGGGUGAAAUCCUGGAGCUCAACUCCAGAACUGCCUUCGAUACUGGGGAGUCUUGAGUUCGGGAGAGGUGAGUGGAACUGCGAGUGUAGAGGUGAAAUUCGUAGAUAUUCGCAAGAACACCAGUGGCGAAGGCGGCUCACUGGCCCGAUACUGACGCUGAGGUGCGAAAGCGUGGGGAGCGAACAGG